GCGCGCAAAUUACCCAAUCCUGACACGGGGAGGUAGUGACAAUAAAUAACAAUACCGGGCGCGUUAGUGUCUGGUAAUUGGAAUGAGUACAAUCUAAAUCCCUUAACGAGGAUCCAUUGGAAGGCAAGUCUGGUGCCAG
rnacentral:rRNA from 1 species